AACCCAGACCGCCAGCUAAGGUCCCAAAGUCAUGGUUAAGUGGGAAACGAUGUGGGAAGGCCCAGACAGCCAGGAUGUUGGCUUAGAAGCAGCCAUCAUUUAAAGAAAGCGUAAUAGCUCACUGGUCGAGUCGGCCUGCGCGGAAGAUGUAACGGGGCUAAACCAUGCACCGAAGCUGCGGCAGCGACACUAUGUGUUGUUGGGUAGGGGAGCGUUCUGUAAGCCUGUGAAGGUGGCCUGUGAGGGUUGCUGGAGGUAUCAGAAGUGCGAAUGCUGACAUAAGUAACGAUAAAGCGGGUGAAAAGCCCGCUCGCCGGAAGACCAAGGGUUCCUGUCCAACGUUAAUCGGGGCAGGGUGAGUCGACCCCUAAGGCGAGGCCGAAAGGCGUAGUCGAUGGGAAACAGGUUAAUAUUCCUGUACUUGGUGUUACUGCGAAGGGGGGACGGAGAAGGCUAUGUUGGCCGGGCGACGGUUGUCCCGGUUUAAGCGUGUAGGCUGGUUUUCCAGGCAAAUCCGGAAAACC
rnacentral:rRNA from 1 species